GGGAGCAGUUAGGAGGUUAACAUUUGGAGACACGUGUUUGCAAUGGAAAAACAGUUUAUGGUUAUUUUAAAACAUUUUGGCAUAUAUGGUAUGGCUUCCACUGUAAGGCCUCGUCAUGUAGUUUGCAUGUUUGGCAACUGCAAUACAUUAGCCGGCAGGUUAGACCUGCUGUUCUGAUUUUAUUCAUGCCUGCUGUGUGCUCGGGAGACCACAUGGGCACGACUGAAUUUUCGCCACUUUUGUGGGUAAUUGGGUGUGGGUGAGGCCUUCGCUUUCCAGUGGAAUAUGAAGUGGAACAACGGAACGGAAGCUGCUCAAGGAUUGUGCUGGUCCGACGUCUGACUUGGGAUGCCGGAUGCCGCUUUGAACCAGAUGGAGGUUCAUGCUGUGGCUUGACUUUCAAGAUUGUAUUGAUUUGGGACCAUUUUUUGGAUGGACUUCCAACUCAUCUAAGACACUUGGGUGUUCAAAGCAAAGCACACUGUUCUCUACACUCCUGUUGCAGAAUGUCUGGUCUUUCCAGGAUAUUGAAUUUUCACUGCAAACUGAAAUUGUUUCUAAAACUUGUAUUCAUUGGAUGUCAUUGACCAAUUGUACA